rnacentral:tRNA from 1 species
GCCCGUGUAGCUCAGUCGGCAGAGCGUCCCGCUGGUAAUGGGAAGGUCGCCGGUUCGACUCCGGCCGCGGGCUCCA